rnacentral:misc_RNA from 1 species
GAUGAAGAACGCAGCGAAAUGCGAUAAGUAGUGUGAAUUGCAGAAUUCAGUGAAUCAUCGAAUCUUUGAACGCACAUUGCGCCCCUUGGUAUUCCAUGGGGCAUGCCUGUUCGAGCGUCAUUUGUACCUUCAAGCUCUGCUUGGUGUUGGGUGUUUGUCUCGCCUCUGCGUGUAGACUCGCCUCAAAACAAUUGGCAGCCGGCGUAUUGAUUUCGGAGCGCAGUACAUCUCGCGCUUUGCACUCAUAACGACGACGUCCAAAAGUACAUUUUUACACUCUUGACCUCGGAUCAGGUAGGGAUACCCGCUGAACUUAAGCAUAUCAAUAAGCGAGGA